GCAGAUUUUUUACCAUAAAUACAGUACUGUAAUGUAUUUUUUCUUCCUUACGAAUUCCUUAAUAGCUUCUUUUCUCUAGCUUAUUUUAUUGUAAUAAUAUUUAUUGUGUUAAUUGACUAUGUUAUUUGUAAGACUUGUGGUCCACAGUAGGCUAAAUUUGGGGGGAUUCGAAAGUGAUAUGUGGAUUUUCAACUUCAUGGGAGGGUCACCACCCUUAACCCCUGCAUUGUUCAAGAGUCAUCUGUAUACAUUUUCUUUAUUCAUUCAUCCAUCAAUGGACACUUAGGUUGUUUCAGAAAGGACAAACUUCUUGAAGAGAUCUUGUUAAUAAAGAAAACUAAGUAUGAAAACUUACUGCAGUAGGAGAGUGUACUGCCUUGAUGUGCUUAGCUGUGCCUCAGAACCAGAAAAUUAGAGAUUAGAGGUUUGGGAUCUGUGUUCAAAUGGUUUAAGGCAUAUCUGUCAAGAGAGGAAACUGAUCAGAUUUGACUAAAUUAAUGAAAUGGUUUAGGAUUCGUGGACACAGCAAGCAAGGACCUUAAAGAGUCUUGAUAAACUGUUGUUUGAUAAAUGAGCUGUAUGCCCAGGUAAGCAAAUUAUUGUCUCCCUCCUAUUGGAAUUUCUUUAUGCAAACAAAAAUUAGGGACUGUUUCUGUUUGGUUUUUUGUUUGCUUUGUUUACAAUCUUAUCUUUCCUAGGCAAAGAUUUCCUGGAAUAAACAACUAAAUCAUAUUGAUACAGCAUCCUCAGGCCACCCCUCCCCUGUUGCAAACUUCCCUGGAGUUGGGCUGCUACAAUUCGCAUGGAGACUCUCCUGCCACCUGCAUGUUUUCCAGAGCAACAGCAUGAGCAGUUUAGGGGGAAGCAAGACAAGUCGACAGAAUAGAUCCUCAAGUGACGUGGACUCAGUUUCUUGCUGGAAUUUGCAAAGCCGAUUUAAAUAUGAUCUUAGUUGUUAGAAGAUUGCUUUUAAAAUGUAGAAAUUAAAGAAGACAGCCUCUGAGAAUGCAAAUUUUGAAGAACUUGGAAUCUUUUUCAUUUCAAAUAUAAUAUUAACCACAGAGCUCAUCUGGCUGGAUAUCACAGAGUGUACAACAUGAGGAAAUCAAAGUAAUAAAAACAGCCUCUCUACCUUGCUGGUGUUCGGUGCUGUCUUUGCCCUACACCGUCUCCUGCAUGUGACUGUUUAGAGAAAUAGCAGGGUGCACAAGAGAUCUAAAGGGUAGAAUAUUAAAACACAAUGACUAGCUCAGAAGCAAUGAAUGGAUUUCUGCAGACACAGUAUGAGGACUUGCAAUAUGGAAAUGAUGCUUCCAGGGUUCUUUGCCUCACUGUGCGGGGCAAAACAAAGUU